rnacentral:misc_RNA from 1 species
AACGCACGAGACCUGCGGACCUGCGGAGGGAUCAUUACAAGUUGAAACGGUCGCCCUCGCGGUGGCCGGUUCUUCAAACCUCUGCGUACCAAACCUUUCAGUUGCCUCCGGCGGCCCUGGGCCGACGCGGCGCGCGACCUCCCCUCGCGGGGGGGCCGCUCCUCGCGGCGGACCACCCGCCGGGCGGUCGCAAACAAAACCUUUUGUCGAGAUGGCAUCGUCUAAUUUCUUCAUAACAAA